rnacentral:lncRNA from 1 species
AGCAGCAGCAACGAGGAGAGCGACACGGACAACGAGGGGCUGCCAGAGCUAAAGGGCGAGGCAGACACGGAGUCCGAUGACUCCUCCACGGUGGGUGUAAUCAAGUGCAAGAAGGCGUCGCAGCGCUGCAAGAAGCGUCUGUUCUGCAGCAAGGAGGGUGAGUAAAAGAGGGGAAAAAAGGAGUUUUCAUAAUUCAUUUUUGUGUCUCGCAUUUCCCCAGAGCGACAGAGUGUCAAGGCGCAGCUGUACAACUUUAAUGACUUGACCAGCGACCGGGAAUGGCUGUACGAUCUGCUGCUAAGCGACUCGGAAAGUGAUGAGCCGAUUGGCAACGAGGACGAGUACAUCCAUCAGAUCCUACGCGAGCACAUACGCGAGCAGCGGCAGCGCAAGAAUUACUACAAAAAUUUGUAUUUGUAUUUUUCCAGCAAUUUAACAUUACAGAUUAUACUGCAGGUGGGUGUAGACAUCAAAUGGGUGCCUCACAGGUCCUGCAAUAAAUAAUAAUUUAUAAAAAAUAUACACAUAAAUGUCAGCUUAAAGGUCAGCUUUAAAGCCUGAUAUUUAUUGAGGUUAACCAGCUGGCAUUUAAGCAUUCAAAUAAUUGUAUUUAAUAUAUUUUGUAACCUAUUCGAAUUCAUUUUUGGCAUAGCGUCUGCUG